rnacentral:rRNA from 1 species
CGGAAGACCGGGGCAGGGGCCGAGGGAAAGCGAGGGGGUGAAGCGUUGUGUGGAAUGACUGGGCGUAAAGCGUAGGGAGGAGGCUUAGUAAGUGGGGGGUGAAAUCCCCAGGCUCAACCGGGGAACUGCAUUCGAGACUGCAAGUCUUGAGAUGAGGAGAGGGGAGUAGAAUACCGGGUGUAGAGGUGAAAUUCGUAGAUAUUCGGUGGAACACCAGUGGCGAAGGCGACUCGCUGGACGGAUACUGACGCUGAGGCGCGAAAGCGUGGGGAGCAAACAGGAUUAGAUACCCGAGUAGUC